UACGUAGGGGGCAAGCGUUGUCCGGAAUUAUUGGGCGUAAAGCGCGCGCAGGCGGUCUCUUAAGUCUGAUGGGAAAGACCACGGCUCAACCGUGGGGGGGCAUUGGAAACUGGGAGACUUGAGGUUAGGAGAGGAAAGUGGAAUUCCACGUGUAGCGGUGAAAUGCGUAGAGAUGUGGAGGAACACCAGUGGCGAAGGCGACUUUCUGGCCUAUAACUGACGCUGAGGCGCGAAAGCGUGGGGAGCAAACAGG
rnacentral:misc_RNA from 1 species